rnacentral:rRNA from 1 species
UACGAAGGGGACUAGCGUUGUUCGGAAUCACUGGGCGUAAAGCGCACGUAGGCGGAUGUGUCAGUCAGGGGUGAAAUCCCGGGGCUCAACCUCGGAACUGCCUUUGAUACAGCACGUCUCGAGUCCGGAAGAGGUGGGUGGAAUUCCUAGUGUAGAGGUGAAAUUCGUAGAUAUUAGGAAGAACACCGGUGCGAAGGCGGCCCACUGGUCCGGUACUGACGCUGAGGUGCGAAGCGUGGGAGCAAACAGG